CUUCAGUGAUGAUACGAUGACGAGACAGAGCAGGACUCGGUCUGACUCUGCUGAUACUGGUUCAGGUCCACGUUCUGUGGCUCUGCUCCAGGUCUUCAGAUGUCAGGAGUCCUUUCCAAGUGAAGACACAGAGGCAUUUGUCUGAGAAGG
ensembl:snoRNA SNORD15 Small nucleolar RNA SNORD15